GCCAGGCGUGAUAGCUCACUUGACAGAGCACGAGACUCUUAAUUUCAGGAUCAUGGGUUUGAGCCCCAUGUUGGGUG